rnacentral:lncRNA from 1 species
GGUUCUUGCCGAUUCAUCCAUACUCUUUUUUGGGAGAAAUUAGAUUGCCGAAAUUUGGGGAAAACUAUCUGGGUGUUCAAUUGGGCAGAAUCGUAAUCUCUUCUAGGGUUUCAAGAUUCUUUAUUAACACUUAUUUCUAUUCUCUAUUUGAUUCUUUACUGUUUUGGGGAUUUUAUUUCAGAUCUGAAAAUUUAAAAAUCUAAUCUUUUAAUUUUCUGUUUCGUUUCAGAUCUAAUUGUUUAGGGUUUUCGUAGGAGUUUCCCGUGACUUGGCAACUCGAUCUUGGUCCGCGCGCAACC